rnacentral:lncRNA from 1 species
CUCCGUGCCACAAAAUGAGUGACAAAAUGUUAUAAAAACCUGGCCAGAUAAUUUAAAGCCAUCAGUCUCAAGUCAAAGUCCAGAGGCUCCAAGUCAUUUUAUUUAGGAAAAACCUACCCCUCUUGUUUCUGCAUUGCUUGCUCUUUGGGGGUUUUUAGUAUAGGUAUUUGUGAAGCACUUUGUGACAACUGCCGAUUAAAAAAAAAAAAGAGGCAUUUAUAAAAUACAUUUGAUUAAUAAGAGUAAUGGCAGUUGUAAGUGCAAGCUAGCUAUAUCUUUACAUUAGUACCGUCUAUCAUGACUGUUGGUCCUGAUCUGUUGGGACUACCUUGGAGACGUUGACGUGUCCUGAGAUCCAGCACUUGAGCCUUAUCCAUAUAUCUACAGUGUGCUUAGCGCUGGAGAACCGACGGUGCCUUACAGCCGGUCCCCGUCUUGGCUUCUCAGCUGAUGGUAUGGACAACAGCUGGCUCCAUGUGAACUACAAUCCCGAUGCUCUGUUUUUAGCGGUUUUUGUAACGUCGAUAAUCCUCGUUUACGAUACGGUUUUGGAAACGUUUGGAAUUUAAAAAGAUUCACCCCUUUUUGAAUGUUUGUUUGUUUUUGUUGAUCUUCGAUUCCCUAUCAAUUUUCCAGAGAGACAGUUAGUGAAUUCAUCUUAAAGUAUCUAGGUAAGACAACUACGUAUCACUGUCAUAGUACAGAGGGUAGUGCGUACGGCCCAGUACAUCAUUGGGGGCAAGCUUCCUGCCAUCCAGGACCUAUUUACUAGUCAGAGGAAAGCCCAAAAAAUUGUCAGACUCCAGUCACCCAAGUCAUAGACUGUUCUCUCUGCUAUCGCACGGCAAGCGCUACCGGAGCGCCAAGUCUAGGUCCAAAAGGCUCCUUAACAGCUUCUACCCCCAAGCCAUAAGACUGCUGAACAGCUAAUCAAAUUGUAUCCCGGACUAUCUACAUUGAUACUGUUUGUUUUUACACUGCUGCUACUGUUUAUUAUCUAUGUCACUUUACCUCUACCUUCAUGUACAGAUUACCUCAACAAACCUGUACUCCCCCACAUUGACUCGGUACCAGUACCCGCUGUAUAUAGCCUUGUUAUUGUUUUGUAAUUUUGUGUUACUCUUUAUUUUAUUUUUUACUUUUAGUUUAUUUAGUAAAUAUUUUCUUAACUCUAUUUCUUGAACUGCAUUGUGGGUUAGGGGCUUCUAAGUAACCAUUUCACGGUAAGGUCUUCACCUGUUUUUAUUCAGUGCAUGUUUAGUAAGAAUUAGAUUUAAUAAGCAAAACUAACCCACAAUGUCAGUGCUAUUCUAUCAUGGUCUCCACACACAGCCCUCACAUUUUCAGUCAUUUAGCAGAUCCAGAGCAACUUACAGUAGUGAGUGCAUACAUUUUCAUACUGGCGUCCUGUGGGAAUUGAACCCACAACCCUGACAAUGUAAGUGUCAUGCUCUACCAGUUGAGCCACACACAGAGCACCAGUGUUUCAGACCCUAAAGUGCUGCUAGUUGUCUUUCAAAGUAGCCUAAACUCAGUGUUACUGUUAUAUUCACCAACAAAUACAUUACAACUUUAUUGUCCUUGUUACAAUGAAAAAUGUAAAUUUGAACCUUUUUAUGUGGUCACCUAUCCUGUGCUGCCCUCUACAGGAAGGAAGUGUAAGUGUCCUCUCCUGUGCUGCCCUCUACAGGAAGGAAGCAUAAGUGUCCUCUCCUGUGCUGCCCUAUACAGGAAGGAAGCGAAGAGUAAGUGUCCUCUCCUGUGCUGCCCUCUACAGGAAGCGAAGGAAGAGUAAGUGUCCUCUCCUGUGCUGCCCUCUAUAGGAAGCGUAAGUGUCCUCUCCUAUGCUGCCCUAUACAGGAAGCAUAAGUCUGUAGAGUUAGAGGAUGUGAAGUUCCAUCAGUGUGUCUGUCUGUCCCGCUUUGAGAACGACCGUACCUUCUCCCUUGAGCAAGGCACUUUGAGAACGACCGUACCUUCUCCCUUGAGCAAGGCACGUUGAGAACGACCGUACCUUCUCCCUUGAGCAAGGCACUUUGAGAACGACCGUACCUCCUCCCUUGAGC